ensembl:lncRNA
UAGCUUAUUACUUCUUUACAUAAUCAUUUUUUUUUUUUUUUUCUCUUUUUUUUUUAUAUACAUAUAUUUAAAUCAAUUUUCUAAGUAACCAAUAGUUAUAAAAAAAAUAAAAUAAGAACACUUUUUAUUUUAUAUUUUUUUUUUCCAAUAAUUUUCCUUGUUUAAAAAAAAAUAUAAAAUGGCAUAUUGUGUAUUGGGAUAGUUGCCUUGUUUAAAAAAAAAUAUAAAAUGGCAUAUUGUGUAUUGGGAUAGCUGUAUUAUAUAUAUAUAUAUAUAUAUAUAAACGUUUCAAUAACUAAAGGGGAAAUUAUAUAUAAAAAAAAAAAUAAAUUUAAAAAGUAUAUCUCUUAUUUUGUCAUUACUUUUUUUUUUAACAUUUUUUUCUUUGGUACAAAAUGGCAAUUGUUUUGUUGUUUUAAAAACUCGUUUUUUUUUUUUUUUUCUUAAACGCAUGUAACUUGUAUGCAGGUAUAUUAAACUUAUACUGAUUCGGAAAAUUGUACUGUUUUACAUAAAAUAUUAUAUCCAUUUUUUUUUAUUUUUUUUUUUUUUGCGCCACCUCUUAUCCCAACUUAAAUAGAACAAAAAACAGAUAAUGGUGAUGUUAUUCCUCCAUCGAAUUAAUCGUAAACAUUUUAGCACAGAUGUUAAUUUAUUGAACUUAUUAAGAAAAAAGGCAAUUCUUUUUGAAAAUGUGAAACGUGAAAAUUGUCGAAAAGACUUAAUUUUAAAUUAUUUUAAUAUUAAAGGAAUAAAAAUAAAAAACAAUGAUAUACAUAUUAUGACAAACAUUUUAUGUAGACCUACAGGAAGAAUAAUGGUUUUAAUAGAUGAUAUAAAAAAACAAAAUUUUAAUUUUGAUUUUGAUAAUAUGAAUGAAGAACAUGAUACAAUUGAUACAUCUAAUGACAUAACAGAAAAUUUAUAUAAAAAAAAUAUUACUAAAAGUAAUUAUAAUAAUAGUAAUGAUAAUUAUGAUAAAUUUCAAAAUGGUUCUACUUCGACAGUUGAAAAUGGUGUAUCUGAUACGAAACAAACUCAAAAAGAAAAUAGGAAUUUAAAUGGGGAUUCAAAUACAAACCCAAAUCCAAAUGCACAUACAAAUACAAAUCCCAAUACAAACCCAAACCCAAACCCAAACGACGAAGAAAGUAAUCAAAAAGUUGAUAAACUACAUGACCAAUCGAAUGAUAACAUAGUGUUAAACCAUAUAUAUAAUAAUCCCAAUCUGAAAAAUUUAUUCAAUAAUUGUAAAUUCCAUAUAUGUGAUAAUUAUGAAAUUGAAAGGUAUGUUGAAGAAUGCGAAAGAUUUAUACGAUUCAGUGAAGAUAUAAAAAGAAUAUCCAAAUUUGAAAAUUUACACAAAAUUGUCACCAUAAUAAAUAUUCCCAACUGCUAUGGUAGAAAAGAAUUAUCACAUGUUAUUUAUGAAUGUGCUGGAAUAAAAGUAGAAAAAAAAAAUAUUAUUUUUAGAUUUAAAAAAAAUGGAAUUCAAAGUGAUUGUGCUUAUGUCUUAUGUAAUAAUACAAAUGAUGCUAAUGUUUUAAUUCAUAAAAUGCAAGAAUAUCCUAUAGCAAAAAAAUAUCAUUUAAAAGAAUUUUAUGGCACAGCUUUUUUAUAUGCAUCUAAAAAUAAUUUAUUUAUUAGUUCUGACAAAUUAGAUUAUAGUAUUUUUUUUUCUAAAUAUUUAAUAUUUACAUGUGGGUGGUAUAAAGAUAUAUCAAUAAAAGAAUUUGAAAGUUUUUUAAUAACAUUAAAAAUUUUUCCAAAAAAAAUUAUUAAAAUUAAUUAUAAUAAAAUAAAUCAAAAAGAAAAUGAACAUAAACAAAAUACUGAGUCAGAAGAUAUACCGGAAGUAUUUAACUCAGAACAAAAGAGGGACAUAAUCGAUACAAAUACAAAAAAGGAUUUAACAGAAAGUGAUCAGUCGAAUAACAAAUUAGUUUUAUCAGAAAAUAACCCAAAUCACAUUUUAAUAAAUAUCAACGAGCCUAGUUCCGACAAAGAAAAUAGCCACAUUACAACAAACGAUACUAAUGAUUUAAAUACAUCAUCUUUUGUUUUAUUUUUUGAAAACAUGAGAAUGGUUAAGAAAGUAUUUACAAAAUUAGAUAGACUAAAAAAAAAGUGGAAAAUUGCAACUACUAGCAACUUUUACGCAUAUCCAAAGAUAGUAAGUAUUAAAAUGAGACGAUAAAAAUAUAAACCAUAAAAAACGAAAUUGCAUGUUGUAUGUU